GACGAACCGUGCAAACGUUGUUCGGAAUCACUGGGCUUAAAGGGCGCGUAGGCGGGGUCGUAAGUCUGUGGUGAAAUCCCCCGGCUCAACCGGGGAAUGGCCGUGGAUACUGCGACCCUCGAGGGGUGUAGGGGCAUGCGGAACUCAGGGUAGAGCGGUGAAAUGCGUAGAGAUCCUGAGGAACGCCGGUGGCGAAAGCGGCGUGCUGGACACCUUCUGACGCUGAGGCGCGAAAGCCAGGGGAGCAAACGGG
rnacentral:rRNA from 1 species